AUACGGAGGGUGCAAGCUUUAUCCGGAUUUAUUGGGUUUAAAGGGUGCGUAGGCGGAAAUAUAAGUCAGUGGUGAAAUCUUGCAGCUUAACUGUAAAACUGCCGUUGAUACUGUGUUUCUUGAGUAUAGUUGAGGUAGGCGGAAUGUGUAAUGUAGCGGUGAAAUGCUUAGAUAUUACACAGAACACCGAUUGCGUAGGCAGCUUACUAAACUAUAACUGACGCUCAGGCACGAAAGCGUGGGGAGCGAACAGGAUUAGAAACCCCAGUAGUCC
rnacentral:rRNA from 1 species